rnacentral:rRNA from 1 species
GGGGGGGGCGGGGGGGGGGGGUGGGGCGGGCGGGGCGAGGGGGAGGGCGGGGGGGGUGGCGGACGGGUGAGUGACGCGUAAAGAACUUGCCUCACAGCUAGGGACAACAUGUGGAAACGAAUGCUAAUACCGGAUAUUAUGAUUUUAGGGCAUCCUAGAAUUAUGAAAGCUAUAUGCGCUGUGAGAGAGCUUUGCGUCCCAUUAGCUAGUUGGAGAGGUAACGGCUCACCAAGGCGAUGAUGGGUAGCCGGCCUGAGAGGGUGAACGGCCACAAGGGGACUGAGACACGGCCCUUACUCCUACGGGAGGCAGCAGUGGGGAAUAUUGGACAAUGGACCAAGAGUCUGAUCAAGCAAUUCUGUGUGCACGAUGAAGUUUUUCGGAAUGUAAAGUGCUUUCAGUUGGGAAGAAAAAAAUGACGGUACCAACAGAAGAAGUGACGGCUAAAUACGUG